CUUAUUUGAUAGUCGAUCUUAUCUAAGUUUGUUUGUAAUUUUAUUUUUUCAAUACGCAAAAAAUAAUUUUUUUCUACAGAAUCAAUAUUUAUUUCUACUUUAUCUGCUUCCUCCACUCUCAUCUACAAGUUUUGUAUAAGCUUGUUCAUAAUUUUAUAUUUUUUAAUACGCAAAAACUAUUUUUUCUUAUAGAAUCAUUCAUCUUCACUUUAGCAACUUCCUCCACUUAU
rnacentral:lncRNA from 1 species